rnacentral:misc_RNA from 1 species
AUUUGCUUGUCUCCGAAAACCAUAAUCGUCUCAGGAAACUCAUAACCUAGCAACCAAAUAUUUAAAGCUGAGGAUUUCAAGUAUCUCAGGUCCUCCGAAGGUGGCGGUGUAGCUAUAGCAAGGACAUCAGAAGAGGCCCAAAGGUCAUCCUUAUGUUUGUGCCAGUGUGAAUACAAGGCCUUCAGUCGCUUACUGAAUGUAUUCAAGUCAAUUGUAUAAGCAUUUCCACCUGCUGAAUUCCCAUUUGAAGGUGCUCCAUUUCCAGUUCUCUCUUGCACCAUGGCCGUGUCAACAAUUCUUGACUAACCUUGUUCGAUGAGAAAG